AACAUCGCUCUUUGAAAAAAUAAUUAUAAAGAGUACUGCCUGCCCAGUGAUAAAAUUUAAACGGCCGCGGUAUUUUGACCGUGCAAAGGUAGCAUAAUCAUUUGUUCUUUAAUUGAGGACUAGUAUGAAAGGCAAAACGAAAGCUUAACUGUCUCCUUUUUAAAAAAUGAAGUUAGUAUUUUUGUGAAGAAACAAAAAUAACAAAGUAAGACGAGAAGACCCUGUCGAGCUUAAGAAAAAUUUUAUAAUAAAUUUUUAACAAGAUAAGAAAAACUUUACUAUAAAAAUAAAAUAAAAAUAUCUUUGGUUGGGGCAACCACGAAGAAAAAAAAACCUUCGUUCUAAAAGAAAAAUUUACAAAUUUAAAAAUUAUUAAAAAUUUAAAAGAUCCAGAAAAUUCUGAACAAAGGAAGAAGUUACCGCAGGGAUAACAGCGUUAUUCUCUUUAAGAGCUCUUAUUGACAAGAGAGUUUGCGACCUCGAUGUUGGACCGGGGCACCCAAGAGGUGUAGCAGCCUCUAAAGGUAGGUCUGUUCGACCUUUAAAGCCCUACGUGAU
rnacentral:rRNA from 1 species